UACGUAGGGUGCAAGCGUUAAUCGGAAUUACUGGGCGUAAAGCGUGCGUAGGUGGAAGAAUAAGUCGUUUGUGAAAUGCUCGGGCUUAACCUGAGAUCUGCAGACGAUACUGUUCAUCUAGAGUAUGGUAGAGGGAAGUGGAAUUUCCGGUGUAGCGGUGAAAUGCGUAGAUAUCGGAAGGAACACCAACAGCGAAGGCAGAUCUCUGGGACGUGACUGACGGCUGAGACGGCGAAAAGCGUGGGGGAGCAAACAGG
rnacentral:rRNA from 1 species